AUUCUAGAGACAUUAAAUGGUAUAUGAUGGUAUAUAUGAUUAUGGAGGGAAAAAAUUGCAGCGGGGGUUUGACUUUGGAAUAUUCAAAAUGGCCGCCGUUACCAUGGGAACAGCAAAAUUAUGAAAAACUUCAAAAUGCUUUAAAUUUAUAAAACUUAAAACAAAUUUUGCCUAGCUUAUGUAGACUUAACUUUUGAGUUUCGAAUUUUCAAAAUGGCCGCCGUUGCCAUGGAAACAGUUAUAAUUUUCUGAAUGGCUGCCGCUGGCCUGGCAAUGGGGGAAGGGUGCCAUCCGCUAUUGCUUGCAAUCGCAAAUCUAGUUAUUAUUAUUAUGGCACCCUAAACGGAGUUUGGGUGACAUAUUGUUAUUCUACGUUUCUUUUUGUUAUGGCACCCUCAACGGAGUUGGGGUGACGUAUUGUUAUUCUACGUUUCUUUUUUUUCUUAUUAUUAUUUUUCUUCUUGCAACAAAUUUUGUCCAGGUGAUUUCUCGAAAUCCAAUGGACCAAUGUUGAUGGAACUCUUCUAUAGUAAGGACCCCCAUGUGCAGAGUUGCAGUAAGCAUGGAAUGGUUCAAGAUGGCUACCGUUUCCAUGGAAACAGAACAAAUGUGAAAAAAUCCAGUUUUUUGUUUUGGUGAACUGUUUGGAUAUGCUUUAACUCAGAAACAUUAUAUUUUAAUACAAUGUAGGUGCCCACUAUAUACAGGUGUUGGAUGAUUUUGGCACUCAUUGGAACUACUAUGUUGCCAUGGAAACUACACCAAAAAUUUCAAAAAAUAUCAAAAUGCUCAAAAAACUUCAUGAAACUUCACAGUAACGAUGAGCAACAUUGGAAGAUGUGGAAUUUGGCGUUGGAAUUUCCAAAAUAUCUGUUGUUACCUUGGAAACAAUGCAAAAAGGUCAAAACUUUGAAUUUUCACAGAACAUUCCAGAACAUCAAUGUUAAAUUUAUUCUAGAGACAUUAAAUGGUAUAUGAUUAUGGAGGGAAAAAAUUGCAGCAGGGGUUUGACUUUGGAAUAUUCAAAAAUGGCCGCCGUUACCAUGGAAACAGCAAAAAUUUGAAAAACUUCAAAAUGCUUUAAAUUUAAUGAAACUUAUAACAAAUGUUGCCUAGCUUAUGUAGACUUGACUUUUGAGUUUGGAAUUUUCAAAAUGGCCGCCGUUACCAUGGAAACAGCAAAAAAUCCAAAAUUUCAAAAUGCUUCAAACUUAAUGAAACUUUGCAAAAAUGUUACUAGACAUCUGUAGAUGCACUAUUUGACUUUGGAAUUUUCAAACUGGCUGCCGCUCACCUGGCAAUGGGGGAAGGGUGCCAUCCGUUAUUGCUAGCAAUUACAAAUCUAGUUUUCUUUAUUUUUAUUAUUAUUUUUCUUCCACACAUUUUUGUCCAGUCUGGAACUCUAAUGUGAAUGGACCCAAGAAGAUGGAACUAUACCAUAAUGUUAACCACCAGAUGAAGAUUUGCUUUUUGGGGUUGGCACUUUCAAGAUGGCUGCCGUCACCAUGGAAACGGAACAAAUGUGAAAAAAUCCAGUUUUUGUUUUGGUGAACUGUUUGGAUAUGCUUUAACUCAGAAUCAUUAUAUUUUAAUACAAUGUAGGUGCCCACUAUAUACAGGUGUUGGAUGAUUUUGGCACUCAUUGGAACUACUAUGUUGCCAUGGAAACUACACCAAAAAUUUCAAAAAUAUCAAAAUGCUCCAAACUUCAUGAAACUUCACAGUAACGAUGAGCAACAUUGGAAGAUGUGGAAUUUGGCGUUGGAAUUUCCAAAAUAUCUGUUGUUACCAUGGAAACAAUGCAAAAAGGUCAAAACUUUGAAUUUUCACAGAACAUUCCAGAACAUCAAUGUUAAAUUUAUUCUAGAGACAUUAAAUGGUAUAUAUGAUUAUGGAGGGAAAAAAUUGCAGCGGGGGACAAUAUAUGGAUAGUUCAAAAUGGCCGCCGUUGUCAUGGAAACUGGGGCCAAGUUUUGCAUUGACCCUAUGGAAAAAUGCAUAAAAUCAGCAUUUUCUCAGAGAGUAGUGCACCAAAGUAAAUGAAACUGUAUUGAUAUAUAACAUGACAUGUGGCAAUGAGAUGUCUGCUUUUAGAAUUUUGGAAUUAUCUACUGUAACCAUGGUUGCAGCACAAAUGUUCAAAAUUUCAAAAAAAAAUUAAGUGCUGCAAACUGGAUGAAACUUUAUAGGAAUAGUAACUUGCAUGUGCGGAGUUGCAUUUUGAAGUUGGAAUUUCCAAAAUGGCCGCCGUAACCAUGGAAACAGCAAAAUUGUCCAAAAUUUCAAAAUGCUUCAAACUUAAUGAAA
rnacentral:lncRNA from 1 species